UACGGAGGAUGCGAGCGUUAUCCGGAUUUAUUGGGUUUACAGGGUGCGUAGGCGGACUGUCAAGUCAGCGGUAAAAUACGGGGGCUCAACCUCCGCCCGCCGUUGAAACUGGGGAUCUAGAGUGGAAGAGAAGUAUGCGGAAUGUGUGGUGUAGCGGUGAAAUGCAUAGAUAUCACGCAGAACCCCGAUUGCGAAGGCAGCAUGCCGGCUUCCUACUGACGCUGAAGCACGAAAGCGUGGGUAUCAAACAGG
rnacentral:rRNA from 1 species